rnacentral:rRNA from 1 species
AGCGGCGGACGGGUGAGUAACACGUGGGUAACCUGCCCAAGAGACUGGGAUAACACCUGGAAACAGAUGCUAAUACCGGAUAACAACACUAGACGCAUGUCUAGAGUUUGAAAGAUGGUUCUGCUAUCACUCUUGGAUGGACCUGCGGUGCAUUAGCUAGUUGGUAAGGUAACGGCUUACCAAGGCAAUGAUGCAUAGCCGAGUUGAGAGACUGAUCGGCCACAUUGGGACUGAGACACGGCCCAAACUCCUACGGGAGGCAGCAGUAGGGAAUCUUCCACGAUGGACGAAAGUCUGAUGGAGCAACGCCGCGUGAGUGAAGAAGGGUUUCGGCUCGUAAAGCUCUGUUGGUAGUGAAGAAAGAUAGAGGUAGUAACUGGCCUUUAUUUGACGGUAAUUACUUAGAAAGUCACGGCUAACUACGUGCCAGCAGCCGCGGUAAUACGUAGGUGGCAAGCGUUGUCCGGAUUUAUUGGGCGUAAAGCGAGUGCAGGCGGUUCAAUAAGUCCGAUGUGAAAGCCUUCGGCUCAACCGGAGAAUUGCAUCAGAAACUGUUGAACUUGAGUGCAGAAGAGGAGAGUGGAACUCCAUGUGUAGCGGUGGAAUGCGUAGAUAUAUGGAAGAACACCAGUGGCGAAGGCGGCUCUCUGGUCUGCAACUGACGCUGAGGCUCGAAAGCAUGGGUAGCGAACAGGAUUAGAUACCCUGGUAGUCCAUGCCGUAAACGAUGAGUGCUAAGUGU